GAGGUUGUGGCUCAGAGGUAGAGCGCUCGCUUACCACGCGUGAGGCCCUGGGUUCAAUUCUCAACACCACA
rnacentral:tRNA from 1 species